CGGCUUCCUCCUCCCCAGAGGGCAAACACCGCCUGUUCCUCAGAAGCUAAGGCUUCUUCUGACCCAGGAAGGUGCUAGUUCUGGCAGGCUGGGAAGUGCCAUGAUGAAACUCAGGAAGCAAUGGUGUCACUUUUGGGGCAAGAUGUUCUAAUGUCAGGCUGGCCUCGGGAGCCACUAGCCCCAACUACCUGAGGGUUAUGGGAAAGCCCGGAAAUACCUGCGAGCUAUAGGUACGGCCCUGUCCUCCAGCUGUUGGUCAAUUAGGCUCCAGAAACCAUGUCUAUUAGUCACAUCCAAUCUUCAAAGGUCACGUGGAAAUCAUAAAUCACACCAGUGCCUAGAGAUGGGAGGGACCAGAUGCCAGGGCAGGAAUAUCUGAAGAUAUUGAGAGGGCCACGGGAGAAAGAGGUUGUGACUCUGACAGGGCCAUCCCACUGCAGGGGAUGCAGACUCACAGAUGACAGGUCUCAUGCUCUCAGGCAUCCCCUGCAAAGACUGUAAUUAGCUGACACCAUGCUCCUGAGCCCAGGAUGUCUAGUGGUACCACUCUCCUGGUGUCUCCUAUUAGCUCCUAUUAGCUGCCCUGUGGAACCCAAAGUGACUGUGAGGAAGUGUCGCCUUGAGGUGGCAGCGUGUGUUUCCAGAUGGCUAUGUAGAUCUCAGAGUUGUCAGGAUCAGGUGCAUGAUAAAAAAAGAAGAAA
rnacentral:lncRNA from 1 species